AACCCGGCCUCUCGGGGUCCGAGUUGUAAUUUGUAGAGGAUGUUUCGGGUACCGCCUCGGUCUAAAUUUCUUGGAACAGAAUGUCAAAGAGGGUGAGAAUCCCGUCUUGGACCGGUGGUAGGGCCUAUGUGAAACUCCUUCGACGAGUCGAGUUGUUUGGGAAUGCAGCUCAAAAUGGGUGGUAAAUUUCAUCUAAAGCUAAAUAUUGGCCAGAGACCGAUAGCGCACAAGUAGAGUGAUCGAAAGAUGAAAAGCACUUUGAAAAGAGAGUUAAACAGUAUGUGAAAUUGUUGAAAGGGAAGCGCUUGCAACCAGACUUGAGCGCGGCGGUUCCCCCUUGCUUCUGCUUGGGUUACUCCGCCGUGUCCAGGCCAACAUCGGUUCUGGGGGUCGGUCAAAGGCCUUGGGAAUGUAUCUACCCACGGGUAGACUUAUAGACCAGGGUGUCAUGCGACCUCCCGGGACCGAGGAACGCGCUUCGGCUCGGAUGUUGGCGUAAUGUUGUCAGCGACCCG
rnacentral:rRNA from 1 species